UACGUAGGGCGCAAGCGUUGUCCGGAAUUAUUGGGCGUAAAGAGCUCGUAGGCGGCUUGUCACGUCGGGUGUGAAAGACCGGGGCUUAACUCCGAAACUGCAUUCGAUACUGCGGUGCUUGAGGACUGGAGAGGAGACCGGAAUUCAUGGUGUAGCAGUGAAAUGCGUAGAGAUCAUGAGGAAGACCAGUGGCGAAGGCGGGUCUCUGGACAGUUCCUGACACUGAGACACGAAGGCCAGGGGAGCAAACGGG
rnacentral:rRNA from 1 species